CUGUAUGAGCUUUCGUAACGUUCGGUUGUGUGACAGUUCAGUGUGGAAGUGAUAAUUCAAAAAAAACGCAGGCGACAAAAACAAAAUAGGAACUACAUAAUAGAGCUACAGAAAAACAAGAAGAAGGACAAGGACCACAUAGGACCAAAAAAAAAAAAAUAGAUCUGAAGUUGACAGGACACCUGGUUGUGCAUUGCCUUGAGCAAGACGCGCAUAACCAAUAA
rnacentral:lncRNA from 1 species